CAACACUGCACUGCAGCCUGGGUAACAGAGCAAGACUCUGUCUAAAUAAAUAAAUAAAUAAAUAAAUAAAAUCAUGCAGACCUCAUCCCCAGGAGGCAGUCUGAAAUGGCUCAGGAAAAAAAAAAAAAGCAGGUGAAAUUUGUGCAGGGGGAUCUCACCUGAACAAGGAUCAGAAAGACAAGGGGUUGUCCCCAAACCUACCCACCCUCCUAGUGGCAGCUGGACCCUGGACCCCCUCACCACCACCAGCCUACCCCAUGCUAUCCAUCACCGGCCAGCUCAUGUCCUAAACAUCUCUGCAUCCCUCCUCUCUCUCCAUCCACGCUGCUGCCUCACUGGUCCUGGCCACCACGGCUCUCUCAGCUAGGCUGCAGUCACUUCCAGGCUGGAUUCCCCACCCCUGCCCUUGACCUUCUCCUGUCCUCUACUCCACAAGGCAGCCAGAAGAAUCUGCCAAUGUAUCCAGUCUUCUCUUGGGCUAGAGCCUUCUGGUGGCUUCCAAUCUGCACCCAUCCAAGCCCUUUGUGUCAGGCACCAUCUCAUCUUCAUAAAUCCUGUUUCUAUUGCCUGGAGGACUCCCCCAGCCCUAACUUCCCCUGUUCCUAAAUGACAUUUCACCACCCUUCAGAUCUCAAUGUCACUUUUGACAGAAACCUUAGCCAGGCAUGAUAGCACACACCUGUGGUCCCAGCUACUCUGAAGACUGAGGAGAAAUGAUCUCUUGAAGUCAGGAGCUGGGGGUUGCAGUGAGCUAGGAUUGCACCACUGCACUCCAACCUGGACAACAGAGCAAGACCCUGUCUCUAGGCCAGGUGCAGUGGCUCACACCUGUAAUCCCAGCACUUUGGGAGGCUAAGGCAGACAGAUCACCUGAGGUCAGAAGUUCGAGACCAGCCUGGCCAACAUUGUGAAACUCCAUCUUUACUAAAAAUACAAAAAUUAGCCGGGUGUGGUGGCAUGCACCUGUAAUCCCAGCUACUUGGGAGGCUGAGGCGGGAGAAUUGCUUGAACCUGGGAGGCAGAGGUUGCAGUGAGCCAAGAUUGCACCACUGCACUCCAGCAUAGACAAUGAAGCAAGAAAAAAAAGAAAAGACCUUGUCUCUAAAAAGAGAGAGAGAGAAACCCUGCAUGGACCUCCAUUCAUAUGGCCGUUCUGUUACUAGAAGGGUCCAGACCAACACAAGAGCACUAGGAGCCAAAGAUGAAAUUCACAAAAGAGCAAUUAUGAGAAAUGGGAGAAAGAUGGAGGGACUGCAACAUAGGGCUAAUGGAAGUUUUAGAAAAACAGCAGAAAAUCACAGAGAAGCAAUAUAUGAUGGACAAUCAAUGAGAAUUUUCAAAAACUAGGCUGGGCGUUUUGGCUCAUGCCUAUAAACCCAGCACUUUGGGAGGCUGAAGCAAGUGGAUCAACUGAGGUCAGGAGUUCCAGACCAGCCUGGCCAAUAUGGUGAAACCUCGUCUCUACUAAAAAUACAAAAAUUAGCCUGGCGUGGUGGCGUGCACCUGUAGUCCCACCUACUCAGGAGGCUAAGGCAGGAGAAUCACUUGAACCCGGGAGGCAGAGGUUGCAGUGAGCCAAUAUUGUGCCACUGCACUCCAGACUGGAUGACAGAGCAAGACUC
rnacentral:lncRNA from 10 species